GUAAAAGGGAACCAUAGUCUUGAUUGUAGUUAUACAUGCAAUUAAUGCGAUUAUGAUCCAUUCCAUAUCGCCACAAAAAAAAACAGCUACUAGUGAUCAGGCAGUAAAUUCUCUAAAAAUUAUCACCUGUACUGUGGAUUCGGGGAAUCAAUAGUUCAAUAACCCAACAAAGGAAAACCAGAAGAAUGACGAGAAAUUAUGGCGCACACAAAGAGCCUUUUACAGAGGAUGCGGAAGAGGGACGAGGUUCGAAGGACGAAGGACAAACCCAAGCGAAUGCACAAAUUGAUUGCGC
rnacentral:lncRNA from 1 species